UACGGAGGGUGCAAGCGUUGUUCGGAAUCACUGGGCGUAAAGCGCGUGUAGGCGGCCUUUUAAGUCUGAUGUGAAAGCCCGGGGCUUACCCCCGGAAGUGCAUUGGAAACUGGGAGGCUAGAGUACCGGAGAGGAAGGUGGAAUUCCUGGUGUAGCGGUGAAAUGCGUAGAUAUCAGGAGGAACACCGGUGGUGUAAACGGCUUUCUGGACCAUAACUGACGCUGAGGCACGAAAGCGUGGGUAGCAAACAGG
rnacentral:rRNA from 1 species